rnacentral:rRNA from 1 species
GGGGGGGGGGGGGGGGGGGGGGGGGGGGGGCGGGGGGGGGGGACAGGCGAGGGGCGGGCGGCGCGGGGGGUAGCGGCGGACGGGGGAGUGACACGUGGAGAACCUACCUGUAAGACUGGGAUAACUUCGGGAAACCGGAGCUAAUGCCGGAGAAUAUAUUGAACCGCAUGGUGCAAUAGUGAAAGACGGUUUUGCUGUCACUUAUAGAUGGAUCCGCGCCGCAUUAGCUAGUUGGUAAGGUAACGGCUUACCAAGGCAACGAUGCGUAGCCGACCUGAGAGGGUGAUCGGCCACACUGGAACUGAGACACGGUCCAGACUCCUACGGGAGGCAGCAGUAGGGAAUCUUCCGCAAUGGGCGAAAGCCUGACGGAGCAACGCCGCGUGAGUGAUGAAGGUCUUCGGAUCGUAAAACUCUGUUAUUAGGGAAGAACAAAUGUGUAAGUAACUAUGCACGUCUUGACGGUACCUAAUCAGAAAGCCACGGCUAACUACGUG